ACGCUGGCGGCGUGCUUACACAUGCAAGUCGAACGAAGCCUCGGGCUUAGUGGCGGACGGGUGAGUAACGCGUGAGAAUCUACCUUCUAGAUGGGGACAACCGUUGGAAACGACAGCUAAUCCCCAAUAAGCCGAGAGGUGAAACGGGUAUCCGCUAGAAGAGGAGCUCGCGUCCGAUUAGUUAGUUGGUGGGGUAAAAGCCUACCAAGGCAGCGAUCGGUAGCUGGUCUGAGAGGAUGAGCAGCCACACUGGGACUGAGACACGGCCCAGACUCCUACGGGAGGCAGCAGUGGGGAAUUUUCCGCAAUGGGCGAAAGCCUGACGGAGCAACGCCGCGUGUGGGAAGAAGGCUCUUGGGCUGUCAACCACUUUUCUCAGGGAAGAAGACCUGACGGUACCUGAGGAAUCAGCCUCGGCUAACUCCGUGCCAGCAGCCGCGGUAAUACGGAGGAGGCAAGCGUUAUCCGGAAUUAUUGGGCGUAAAGCGUCCGCAGGGGGCGCAUCAAGUCUGCUGUUAAAGGUCGGAGCUAAACUCCGGUAGAGCAGUGGAAACUGGUGCGCUAGAGGGCGACAGGGGUAGAGGGAAUUCCCAGUGUAGCGGUGAAAUGCGUAGAGAUUGGGAAGAACACCGGUGGCGAAAGCGCUCUACUGGGUCGCACCUGACCCUCAGGGACGAAAGCUAAGGUAGCGAACGGGAUUAGAUACCCCUGUAGUCUUAGCCGUAAACGAUGGAUACUAGGCGUGGUUUGUAUCGACCCAAGCCGUGCCGAAGCUAACGCGUUAAGUAUCCCGCCUGGGGAGUACGCACGCAAGUGUGAAACUCAAAGGAAUUGACGGGGGCCCGCACAAGCGGUGGAGGAUGUGGCUUAAUUCGAUGCAACGCGAAGAACCUUACCAGGGCUUGACAUCCCGCGAAGUUUGGGGAAACUCAGACGUGCCUACGGGAACGCGGAGACAGGUGGUGCAUGGCUGUCGUCAGCUCGUGUCGUGAGAUGUUGGGUUAAGUCCCGCAACGAGCGCAACCAUCGUCCUUAGUUGCCAG
rnacentral:rRNA from 1 species